GGGGCUAUAGCUCAGUUGGGAGAGCGCGUGCAUGGCAUGCACGAGGUCCCCGGUUCGAACCCGGGUAGCUCCACCA
rnacentral:tRNA from 1 species